GGCAGGCGGACUCAGCCACUGCGCCACCAGGGAAGCCCAGCACAUUCUGUUUUGACCACGCCCGGAAGACUUGGGAAGUGUUCCUCAUCCUUAGAACUGUCUCUACAAAACCACCUGAAUUAACAGCCUAAAAAUGCUUUUGAUGCUGUUGAACUUGCCCACAAUAAAAACAGUAAAACUAAUCUAUGGUGGAAAAAAAAAUCAGAACAGUAUUUGCCUCUGAAGUUGUGAGGAUGAAAGAAGAAACAUGAGGGAAUUUGUUGGAGUGAUGGGAAUAUUCUGUAUCUUGAUCAGGAUUUGUGUUACACAAAUGUAUCCACUUGUCAAAAAUCACUGAAUGGUACACUUGAGGGGAGGAAAUUGAGGCACAAUGAAGUAAGUGACUCAACAUCACAGAACUAACAGGACCCUCUGUGAAUGAGCGGUGAGAUGGAUGGACUCCGGGGUAAAAUGUGAUUAUUGCUGAGAACUCCCUUCCCCAAGUGAUGAAUCUUUCUACCAUCUGCAUCUCUAUAAAAUCAUUUAAAAAAUAAGUAUAAAAUUAAAACCAAACUGAUUUGAGCCUGCCAAACUUAUAUGAACCAAAACACCUAAACCAGUUUAACUAAAAAAUCA